UCUGUGGGAUUUCAUCAAAGCCUCUAUGGCAAUAUACAUUCAGUGUUGAGUUGGUUCACAUAUUCAUCAUAAAAUAAGAUCAUGUACAUGCCAAGGGAUUAACAAAUACUAUGGUCAAGCACAACUCUAUCCUCAAUAACAUAGUUACAUAAACAUAACUGUUUCAAACUUUACAUUACAUUCUUAUCAUUUGUCAUGUCCACAUACUCUAGCUAUUACAUACAUAUGACUUUUCUCUUCUUUUCUUCUCUAUCAAUCCCGUAC
rnacentral:lncRNA from 1 species